GACGAACGCUGGCGGCGUGCUUAACACAUGCAAGUCGAACGGAAAGGCGCUGCUUUUGCGGGGUGCUCGAGUGGCGAACGGGUGAGUGAAACGCGAGUAAAAUGCACCUGUAUGUGGGGUAAAUUCUGGAGAAUGGGGCUCAUACCGGAUAGGAGCUACUGAUGCAUGGGGGUGGAUGGAAAGAUUCGGCGGUUGGGGAUGGACUCGAGGCUUAUCAGCUUGUUGGGGGGGUAGUUGCGUACCAAGGCUAUGACGGGUAGCCGGCCUGAGAGGGUGACCGGCCACAUUGGGACUGAGGUACGGCGCAGUCUCCUACGUGAGGCAGCAGUGGGGAAUAUGGCGCAGUGGGCGGGAGCCUGAGACAGCAAUGUCGCGUGCGUGAUGAUGGCCUUCGAGUGGUAAACCGCUUUCGACGGUAACGAAGCGUGAGUGACGGUAAUGGGUAAGAAAGCACCGGCUAACUACGUG
rnacentral:rRNA from 1 species